rnacentral:rRNA from 1 species
UGCCAUCCGCCGCGGUAAUACGGGGGGAGCAAACGUUGUUCGGAUUUACUGGGCGUAAAGGGCGUGUAGGCGGCUUUGUAAGUCAGGGGUGAAAUGUCUCGGCUCAACCGAGGACCUGCCUUUGAAACUACAGAGCUUGAGGCCGUGAGAGGAGACUGGAAUUCCUAGUGUAGCGGUGAAAUGCAUAGAUAUUAGGAAGAACACCAGUGGCGAAGGCGAGUCUCUGGCACGGUUCUGACGCUGAGACGCGAAAGCCAGGGGAGCGAACGGGAUUAGAUA